rnacentral:rRNA from 1 species
UACAGAGGUCUCGAGCGUUGUUCGGAUUCAUUGGGCGUAAAGGGUGCGUAGGUGGCUAGGUAAGUCGGAUGUGAAAUCCCGGGGCUCAACCCCGGAACUGCAUUCGAUACUGCCUGGCUAGAGUACUGGAGAGGAGAUUGGAAUUUACGGUGUAGCAGUGAAAUGCGUAGAUAUCGUAAGGAAGACCAGUGGCGAAGGCGGAUCUCUGGACAGUUACUGACACUGAGGCACGAAGGCAGGGGAGCAAACGGG